rnacentral:rRNA from 1 species
AUUGAACGCUGGCGGCAGGCCUAACACAUGCAAGUCGAACGAGUGGCGGACGGGUGAGUAAUGUCUGGGCAACUGCCCGAUGGAGGGGGAUAACUACUGGAAACGGUAGCUAAUACCGCAUACCAUCGGAUGUGCCCAGAUGGGAUUAGCUAGUAGGUGGGGAAAAGGCUCACCUAGGCGACGAGCCCUAGCUGGUCUGAGGGGAUGACCAGCCACACUGGAACUGGGAAACGGUCCAAACUCCUACGGGAGGCAGAAGUGGGGAAUAUUGAACAAUGGGCGCAAGCCUGAUGCAGCCAUGCCGCGUGUAUGAAGAAGGCCUUCGGGUGGUAAAGUACUUUCAGCGGGGAGGCGUUACCCGCAGAAGAAGCACCGGCUAACUCCGUGCCAGCAGCCGCGGUAAUU